rnacentral:misc_RNA from 1 species
AAAAAUCAAGCAAACGGCCGUUCAUAUCAGCGUCUUAUAGAAGAAGAGAUUCCAGGCCCCUCCUCCUCCAAAAAAAGUAAGAUUUCCAUACUGCCGGCGGCGGCCCUCCUCCUCUGCUGCUGUCCAAUCAUUGUGUUCCUUUCCCGCUCUUUCUUUUUUUUUGGCGCUCUCGUGCACGUCGGCAGAUCCCGAAGCUCGCUCAUUUGCCAGGUGCUGACCCUCCCCCUUGAGAAAAAAAACGAAAAAACCGAGAACCGCAAACCACCCCCGGCAGGCGAGCAAGCUGCAGCGAGCAAAGGUAGCUACCAAAGUCUCACCGCGGGCUUCCGCAAGCACAGGGCUCAGCCAAAUGACAGACGUCCUCUUUGACGUGCGCAACGCCCUCGUGGUGGGCAACUACCAUCAGGCGAUCGCUGAUGGGAGCACUGCACGCGCUCUGUCAAGCCGGCCGGCUGAUGUGGCCGCCUUCAACGCGGAGAAGAACGCGGUGGUCGCGCUGGGUCAGAUUGGUCUCGGCCAAGUCGACGCCGUUAUCAGUCAGCUGCGCUCGGAGAGCAACCCGCUGCUCGUGACAAUUCGCACGUGGGCAGAGCUCAUUUGCGCUACGCGCGACUACGGUGUCCUCUCCGAUCCGGCCACGAACGUCACGCAGCGUCUGCAAAGCGAUGCGGAGAAUGUGGCGGCGGACGCUGUCUACAAGGCUGUAUUCGCUACCACAGCCCUGCUUUACCAGCAAGACGUCAUCGGGGCGCUGACGCUGGCAAAGAAGUGGCUCGGCGAGUUGCCCACUCCGGAGGGGGCGCUGGUCAGGCGCUACACGGUGGAGCUGCACGGUGUGGCGGCAGAGGCGCUGCUGCGGCUGAAUCGACCAGAUGAGGCGGCGAAAGAGGUAAAGCGCAUGGAGCAGGUGGACAGCGAGGCGAUCGUGACCAUACUGUACAGCGGCAUUGUUUCCCUCCAUCAGGCCGCAUCUGACGUGCACGUGGCCAACUAUAACGCGGCCGUAUCCGCCUUCAAGGAGGUGCAGCUGCGGUGUGGGCAGAGCAUCAUGGUGUCGAACUUGAUGGCCCUGGCGCACAUGGGUCUCAAGGACUACGACGCGGCUGAGCGCUCGCUGCUCGACGCGCUAGCCGUCCGCUCCAACGAUGAGGCCACACUGGUGAACCUCGCCGCCGUCAGUGCCCACAAAGCGAAGUCCCUCGACGACGCCGAGCGCUACAUCCAGCAGGCGGCCUCGAUGCAUGGUACGUGGGGCCAGGCCUACCACGCCAAGGAGCGGAACCUCGACGAAGAUAUUAGCGCUUUCAUGUUGGAGGAGUAGCUGCACACGGACAUCGGCUCUCAGGCAGCGCUGUGACCAAGGACGCUGGUACUAUAAGGAGUCCCCUUGCGCGCGCCAUAGUAGGCGACCGUGCACACGCGCGGCUCUCGUUGUCAAGCGAGUGCGACGCGCGUCCUACCGACUUGGUUGCUAGUGGCGAGGCGGGGCGAGGAAGGGAGGCAUGUGCGCACCCUGGGCCAUUACACGUGCGCACACCCUGCUCGUCGUGGGGCGAGAGCGGAGCAGUUGCUGUAGGGUAGCAUCGGUGUCUGCUCACGGCUGACGGGACAUGAAAGCAAAAACAUCAAGGCAACGGGGCCACCUUUCUGCCUUGUUUCACUCCGCCGUCUCCUUCAUUCACCGCGCCUUCGAGCUCACCAACGUAUCCGUCAUGUCCCGUGGAGAAGAGAUUGUCCUCGGUGUUUGCCCUCUUGCCGAGGCCCUUCUUUGUCGGGCACGUUUUUUUUUUUCCUCUGCGCGCUGUCCUUGUGUGUGUGUUGUUUUUGUGUUGUUCUGUUGUGGUGUAGCCUUGGCGUGUUUGCGUGCGUGUGCGUCGACGACUGCCUCGAAAUCCUGUGGAGAGAGGAAAGUAUCGGGGUGGCGAAGGAAACAGCAGUGGUGUCUGUGCUCGGCAGGCUUUUUGUGCUGGUUUCUCUUGAGGGGUACCGCGCGCUCCUCUUCUACGCUUUACCCCACCUCACUGGCGCUUCGCCCUCUUCCCCUGUGCCAAACCAACGUUGAAGUUUGCCAUCUGUGCGUUCUCCACGGUGUGCUGUGUUUCGGAAAAU